AUAUAUAUUUUAGAAGAUACUUUUAACUUCACUAUUUCGUUUCAUGUUAAUCUUAUAUAUAUUAUUACUAGUAUAACUAUAAGUUGUAACGUAAAUUAAGCAGUGAAUUAACACGUCGUUAGGCUAUUCUUUUGAGAUUCAUAUUCAUGACAUAAGGAGUCGACGAUGAUAAAAUAGAUCAACAGGUUCCUCUCGUAUUUUGUAACUAAUAACAAACUUGUGGUAACUAAACAAUAAAUUUCGGAUAUCUUCAGUUAUGGCGACAACAGCAGCGAAAAAACAAGAAGCAAAACUUGCAAAAAACUUGGCUCAUAAAACACACUUCACCAAGCAAGAAAUAGAGACACUGAUGAUAAAUUUCAAAAAAAUGACCAUGUCAAAAUUGGAGAGGACGAUGUUUCGUGAGAUUCUUCACAACACGUUCGAAAUGACAGAUGACAUUUUAAUGGACAGAAUCUUCCGGACAUUUGAUGCAGACAAUGAUGGUAUCAUUGAUUUUGGAGAAUGGGUAACUGGUCUUUCCAUUAUCUUGCGAGGAACUCAAGAUGAAAAGAUAGACUUUUGUUUUAAAGUCUAUGAUUUAACUGGAGAUAGAAUCAUCACCCGGGAAGAAAUGUUCCAUAUGUUAAAAAAUACAAUGGUUAGGCAGUUAGCUGAAGAGGAUCCUGAUGAGGGGAUCAAAGACUUGGUUGAUCUCACCCUUAAGAAAAUGGAUUAUGACCGCGAUGGACGGUUAUCAGCAGAUGACUUCAAAAGAUCUGUACAAGAAGAACCUCUUCUCCUUGAAGCAUUUGGGCCAUGCCUUCCUGAUGAUAAGGUUCGUGAAGCCUUUCUAGCUACUUUCACUCAAACAAAAAUGGACACAUCCGAUUCAUUAGGACUUUCCACACUCUAAAUCUGCAUGAAGGGUAGUAAACAUCAGGCACUUUUUGUGACUCUAACCCAUUCAACAAUACUUUUAGUACACUUCACCAUGCACCGUUCCAUUAUAUUGUUGUACUUUUAAGGUAUUUUCAGUUACUAUCAUUUAAAAUAAGUUUUGUAAACCAUGAUGCUCAUGGAUCCUUGAAAAAGGUGCAAGCCAAAGCAUUGGGUAGAAUAAAUAAAUGUUUAACAGAAGUUGUUUGUUGCAUUCUGAUAUUGAAAAUGGAAAAAAUUAUCCCUUGAAACUUUCGUACAUUUUAUUAAAAUAUGUUAGAAAACUAAAAAAAAGAACUUUCACAAACGGAAUGUUUUGUCAAAACUUUACCAACCAAAAUUACAUCUCAUAAUAGCUAGUUGUGUAGGUAACAAAACAUGUUAUUUGGAAAUGGAGAGAAGUAAUAAUAAUAAUUGUUUAACCUUUCCUAUUCUAGAAGCUUAAGCUUGUGUGGGUAUAAUAUAAUUCUUAAAUUUAAUAACAUUUUUUGACUAUUAAAUGUAUACACAAUGUUCAACUUAUUAUAGCAAUUGAUCUAACCAUUUUAUUUUUCAUAUUUCUGUCAAUUUACCUUUCUUUAUAUAAUUGGAGGUUUUUGUUUUUUUUUGCUAGUUUAAAACAAAAUUAUGACACUUUUUUUUAUAUAUAAAGCUGUUGCAGUUGAAAUAACCAACAUUUACAUACUUCUGUUUAAUUAGUUUAGGAUAUAUCUAUAGUCAGGCACAUUCAGUAAUUUUUCUAAAUUUUUGUGCAGGUGUUCUGCAUGUGGUUUUGACAUUCUUGUUAGUCAGAUGCCUAAAGGUUAUGAAUUUGUGCUAAUCUUUUUACUUAGGUAAGGAUUACAUACAGCAACAGCUAUCUCAUAAAAGCUUGUAUCAAGUUUGCCCUGUGUCCACUCCCUGGGUAGGGAGAAGCUCAUCUCAAAGGGCUUCACAGAUACUUGUACAAAUUGGUAUGAGCUGGGGGAGUCCUCUCCCUUGAAUAUGUUAUUUGGAAUAGUUGUGACACAAGUAACCCAAAGAUUUAUAAGAUAUCUCACUUGGACCUGUCUUCAACUUGAAAGUGCAGUAUCAUUCUUUCAGUCAUUGAUCUGUGCAAGUGUGAUAAUUCUUGCCAUCCUUUUCUGGUGCAGAUGUUUGUUUGGAAAAACCUCUCUAGUCUUAUCAGUUUGAGAACAAAUAAUUAGAAGCAGUUAGUAUGACUGGACCUGGUUGUGAGACCAUUCCUACAAUUAUGCCCAUCCAUGACUGUGUAGCAAACAUGCAGGUAUGAACAGUUCAAUACGACAUUGUAUGAAUGCACUUCAACUGAAGUUACAGUACAGCUAUUAAAAGAAGUUUAACGAUUAGCAUCCUGUACAUUUAUUCUUUUUCUAACUUUUAGCUGUUGAAAAAUACAAAAGUUAGUAUAACAAGUGCAUGGUAUGAAGUAUGCAUUUAUUAGGAUUUUAGUAGCAAUGGUAUUAGUUUGCUUGAUAGUAUAAGCAGUAAUGAUGUUUAAUAUUUAUUUGAUAUGUCCUUAAGUUAUUUGUAAUGGUGAAUAUUUCUGAAAAUUAACGUGGUGUGAUGCAUGAGUUAUUUAAUAUGUGCUUCGUAAUUGAUGAAGUAGUGGGAUAAAUAAACAUUUGACAGGCCCAUACCAUGUCCUAAACUAACAGCUAUAAGAACUACUUUACUAUAAUAGUAGUUGAACAUUUUUCUCUAAGUCUAGGCAAGAAAUUUCAUUUAAAAAAUAAGUUUGUGUAUUUUGAUUUUAAUAUUUGUCCAUUUGAAAUAUUUUUACAGUUCACUUUAUUUUCAGGACUUUGUUGUGGGAGUGUUUGCAGAGAAUGCAUUACUUUCAAGAUGGCACCUGUUAAAAUUGACGUGGCCAAAGUGCUGGCAUGGGAUUCUUGGCUUUAGGACAACUCUCAGCAUAUUGAACAAGUGCAUCUUAGUGAAUAGUUUAUGGUUUAUCUACUACACUGAAGAAAAACAUAGUUAAACACAUGAGAACUAGCAAGUUUCCCUUAAACACUGAUGAAGCAACUAAUGAUAACAUGAUGAGCGUUCUGGCAGUAUCAUAGUAUAAGGAAAUCCAAAAUUGUGUUGUAUUAAAUAAUUUGAUGUCUAUUAAUUCAACCACUGUAAACACUGAUUCUUUUCCCAAGGAAUUUUGUAAAAUAUUCCAGCAGAAUAUCAUUCCUAAGAAUAAUUACAUGUCUAUUCUGAAUGAUUCUUGUAGCUUUAUGUUGGGUUCUAAGAGUGAACUUGAAGAGAGACUUUGAGAUGAGAAGGCAAAUCACCUGCUCAACAUUGAUAGUGACAUGUGUCAUCAUGGACAUAAUGCUCGCAAAAAUUGGGUCACCCAUUUGAACACUGGGCUGAAUGACUAUAUACUAAUAUCCAUACAGACUUCUUUUAUGCUUGGAGUCAAAUUUACAAUGCCAGAAAAGUUAAUUUAAACAGAGAUGAUUUUCAUGAUGUAAAUUUACCCUUAGUAUGUCAGGAUCUGGGAUGUUUUAUCAAUAUUAUAUUUUGUUUUGUUUUUUUGUACCAGGGUGUACUGAAGGAGAGAGGUAAGAGGGGACAAAUCAGCUCAGGUAGUUGCAUAACACCCCUCAAAAGGAGGAAAUGACUCAGGAAGGACAGGCAAGUAAAAAUGGUUGUAAAACAAAUCUUCUACUGCAGGAAAUAAACAUACUUAAUCAUGAAAUACUGUCUCUGCUGAAACAGUACAUGUGCAAGUUUGAGAUGAACAUUUUUUUGGUUCACAAACUGAACCAUAAACAAGUUAAGCUAUUUGGAGAAUUCUUCUUAUAGUUUCUCAAAUUCUAUCUAAAGAAUGACAAGAAAUUUGAUACUGCUAAUAAGUCCAACUGGCUUUCUUCAAAAAGCAUCUUUAUUGGUGCAACGUGUUCAGCUAUUAUUGUAUCUUCUACAAACCCAUGACUCCACUGUGAAGUACCUUAGAGAGGAAUGUGAGAAGACAUACCCAAAUUGUGCUAAAUACCUUCAAGGGAAAGAGAAACUUCCUCUAAACAAAGAAGUGUUGAGGUGUGCUUCAAAAAUUGGUCUCUCAUGCCACAAAUACUCCAAGACACUAAAGAGACUCCGGACUCUACCCAAAGUUAUGAAGAAUGUUUCAGAAGCAGAGGAUUAAUACCAAGGAAGUGCCAUCUAUAUCAGGUUUCUCAAAACCUGCCCUGGGUACUAACGGGGAUGUGUGGUGGAGCCAUAUUUAUCAGAAGGGCAUUAUUUAAUACAGAACUACCUCAUGAGUUUCUUUCAUGACCCAGCUGUGGAAAGUAGUUUCAGCACAAUGACAAAUAUUAAGACUGUAAGUCAGGAAAUAUGAACAUUCUGCAAUUCAGACAGCCAAAUAUAACCUUAGAUCACAAUGCAAGUCUGCUAUGGAAGUUUUUCAAGAGAAAGAACAUUUAAUCCUCCUGUAGAUUGAUAUAUGUAAAGGUAAUGUGAGUGCGAAGAGAAGGUAAAAGGAACGUCUGGAAGAAAAGAAGAGAAAACGGAAAAACUUUCAAAGAAUCAGUUUAACCUUGAAUCUAAAGCCCAAGCCAAGAGAUGGACAAACUUAGCUGGCUUUAAGAUAUCAAUUUUAUUUAUUUUAUAGUUUUAUUUCAGUUUAGAGGAUGGGACAGCCGAGAUGGACCAAUAGGUUAUAUUAAAACAAGAAGAAAGGAAAGGCACAUAAACAAAAGGUGUUGGCCAGACUCCUAAACACAGUUAAGAAAAGAAAAAAAAUCAGAAGUGAAUGAUCAGAAACUUGUGAAUGAUUUUUUAAUUGAUUAGGCCUAAAGCACAACUGAACAGUAUGCAUUAUCACAUCAAGUUUUGACUUGCUAGUAUUUUACUACUAUUUUGUGCCUCUAUUUGCUCAAUGUUGGUUAUAUAUUUUAUAAUUUUAGACUUGUUACAGAAAUUGAAUGAUGUAUGGGUUGGUGUUUAAACUGUGUAAAAUGCAGUUGCCACAUUGUGAAACUGAUCAAGUCAUUUUGUUUGCUAAUAUUGGCAAAAUAAUUAAAGUUCAACAGUGACUGUUGUUCUGUAUUAAUUUUUACUUAAUU